UCCGCCUUGGAGGCGGCAGUCUCCUAUGAAAAAACAACAUAGGAUGAGGGUUGCGCUCGUUUGCUGACUUAACAGUACACCUCAAGGCACGAGCUGACGACGACCGUGCAGCGCCUGUCACCGAGUUCCUUGCGGCACUUCCUCCUUUCGGAGGUGUUCUCGGGAUGUCAAACCUGGGUGAGGUUCUCCGCUUAUUAUCGAAUUAAACCCCAUGCUCCACCGCUUGUGUGGGUCCCCGUCUAUUCCUUUGAGUUUUAGCCUUGCGGCCGUACUUCCCAGGCGGUGUGCUUACCGCGUUAGCUUAAGGCACGGAAACAGAUUGAAUGUUCCCACACCGAGCACACAUCGUUUAGGGCGUGGACUAC
rnacentral:misc_RNA from 1 species